ACUGUAAGCAUUUGAAGAGUGUUGAUUUGCUUUACUGCAAUGGAAUUUGGGUGGAAGGCGUUGAGUUUGUAAUUCUGAAUUCUCCGGAGUUGAGAAAUGUACAGGUUGAAGAUCGUAAGUUAUCGGAAGCUGCAAGAAGAUGGAUGGCGAGUAAGUUUAUUGAGGUUCAAUCCUGAAUCCUGAUUAAGAACAGAAAACUAUGCACAGCUAAAAGAUCUUUCCUAAUUUGAAUACGAAGCGUCCUCAUGUCGGCUCAGUAGGAUCAACCCAUGCGCAAGAGGCGCAUGACAAGUGAAAAAUCACCGCGAUGUAAACACAAGUCGACAUACUUUUGUACUUACCCACGAUUUAUUUUUUAUUGUGAAGAGGGAGAUCAGUCACCCACGAACCGGACGAGAAUAGAUAAACCCCUUUUAUGCAGAUUCAAACCCCUUGGUUCAGUUGAUUCCGGUCAAUUUAACCAGUGUUUCUUCAUUGGCGCCCACCGAUUUCUCAGUUUUAUUCAUUUCUUCUUGUUUCGAUUCACUUUUUCAUCUCCGUUUUUCAAAUGGAAGAAACUCCGACGAACCGUCAAACCGGCCCUCGGCCAAAUUUCGCUCACAAUACCCAAGUGGAAGGGAUUGUGGAAGAGGCUUCGGAUGAUAAUGAAGUUCAGUACACUGAUAAUCAUCCGAAUGACCCUGUCACUCCAGGAAUGCAGCCUGAAAUUCCAAUAAGCUCAAUUCUACCUCCUGGAGAAACCCCCAUCUCUUGGUAUGUAAGAUCCCAAGGAGCGAUAAACGCUGUGUAUGCACAACUCUGUGCACAAACUGCUCCUCCUACUCAGUCACGAAGACCUGUAUCUCGUACUCGAGCACCAUCGGUACCACAUGUUUCCCAUCAUGAUGCACCAUCACGAGUUCAGGUAGAAGACACAGAAGGUUACUCUAGAUCUCCAGCGAGAUAUGAACAUACUCACUCUGAAAAUCGACGAAGAAAGUAUCACGAUGAAUCUCAUUCUCACCGAAGGCAGUCAGUUCACUCCAGAUUGGGCCCGCGACGGAACACCCACACCAGUGAGUACGGCAGAACAUACCAAGAGGGGGACAGUACAAGCGUGUUCAAUCGGUUGCAACUGAAUUACAAAAGUUGUAAACCCCACGCGGUUUAUAAUCCUGAAGCAGAACACGAUUACAAUUUGAUCUACCGCCCGGCGGAAGCAGCAGAAAAUUCCAAGUUUAUCAGCGAAAUCGCUUUGGCUCCCUUGGAGAAAGCAAAACUCCCAUCCAACGUUGGCAAGUUCAAUGGCAUGACAGAUCCGGAUGACCAUCUUCGGGUCUUCACUAGUGCAGGAUUGGUGGGAGGAUGGACUUUACCGAUGUGGUGUCAUCUAUUCAUCCAGACUCUCACAGGCGCAGCGCGACUAUGGUUCGAUAACCUGCCUGUUAGAAAGAUAACAUCAUGGGUGGACCUGCGAGAAAAAUUCCUGGUGCAUUUCAGCCAACAAAGGAGGUCUAUCCGGGAUACUGCAGGCGUCAUGAAUAUCUGGAGGCGCGCCGACAAGAGCUUAGAAGAUUUCGUCACACGUUACAACAAAGAAAUGCUUGAAAUAGGAGACGUUCAUGAGCAUUUGAUCAGAGCACAGUUUAAUUAUGCCGUCCGCUAUGACAACAUGAUAAAGGUUUUGUCUGGAACGGAAGGGCUACCAAAGAGCUGGGAGAAACUGAUGGCGGCAGCCAAAGUGUACGCCCAGACGGAGAAGAAUCUCAGCUCUAACAGACCGCCACCACCACACAGUCGCCCAACAGACAUGAGCACGAGCAGCGGAAAAAAGUUUAAAAAGAAUUGGCGCGACUCGAACUCUGGAAACUAUUCGUCUGAGGACACGCGAGCUACCAUAAACAAGCUCGCUGCGUAAAGAGAGGCAAAGCAGGAAAACAGAGAGAGGCAGUGGACCCCUCUGACCAAAACUCCAGUGGAGGUGCUGAGCACGGAGGACUAUCAGUUCAAGACCCCUCCGCCUAUGAAGAAUAAGAGGUGUCAAGACCCGAAUCAAUACAGUGACUACCACAAAGAUAAUGGUCACACUACCAACAACUGUAUCUCUCUCCGAACUGAAAUUGAAAAAGCGCUCAAAAGUGGCGAGCUAACCCACUUGUUGCAGAAUGUGCGGAAAGAUAUAAAACAAAUCACUCGCGGCGAGGAGGGCCCAAGUAAGAAGGCGAAGAAGUAAGCAGCAUACUAUAGUCUCCUCGCAGGUUGGUCAAGCUCUGAAGCUUAUCAAUUCAUGGCAAGGACUAUAGUGUAAGUUAAGUUUCAUGUAAUUAUCCUAAAAUAGACUUUGUACCAUGGCCUCUGUGCCCUAUCAUGAAUCAAAACAAAGUUUCUAUUAUUUCUGUAUUUAUUACAAAGUGCAUGCAAUUCCUUUUGGUAAGCGCAAAAACAUUAUGGUAGAUAUAACACAAGUCUCAUGAGCGGUCAGCGAUUACACACAUCGCACCAGACCUUACGCUCACACAUGAGCUUUAUACCAUCUUUAUUCGCCUUACCUAAUCAAAGCAAUUAAACUCAUGCAAAAUAUUGUGAAUUAAAACACAUCUCAUACUAGUUACUGGUGCGCCACACGCCUUAACAUAAAAUUAUAAAUAUACACGACAGUGUAUUAAUCAAAGUUACUUGCGCAGCAGCGCAUUAACAAAACAGGGAUCCACAUCCCAAAACCUACAAGUUAAUUGUUCAUACAAUCACAAAGAAAACCUAAGCUAGGUCUUCAUCCUCAUCUUCUUCUCUAUCUGGGAAGAUUUCUUUCAAUUGCGCCACAUGGUCCUCAGACUGUAACGCAACAUUGAUAAAAUCCAUAAUUGUAAGCUGUAAGUUAUUAAAUUCUGUCUUCGCAGCAGCAAGGGCAGCAUCUGUAUUUACACCAUGGGUAGCAGACUUUCUAGUAUCCCAGUCAACCUUUAAAGCGUUAACCACACGGUGCGAGCAUUCUGCAUACCCUUGGGCAUAACCAUCAUUUCGCGCAGCAACCAACAAGUGCGCCACAGUUUUGUCUAGCUCUUCAGAGUUAAGGACUGAUUCUGCAACCUGAACAAAAAAGAAAAAGUAAGAAGACGCGCAAAACAUCUCCGAGAAUUACAAAAGAAAGAAGAAGAAACUUACACUUGCAAUUCCACGCUCUUUCAACCAUAACAUAUCACUUUUCAAAGGCUCAAGCUCACUCUCCGCCGUUGCCCGCGCAGUUUCAGAAGUUUCUAACUUUUCUUCGGUUUCAGCGAGAUGGCGGGAAGUUUCAGCUUUCUCGGUCCGCACAAGCUCCAGAUCUUUCUUAGCAGACUCCACUUCCGCCUUAAGUUGUUCCUGCUCAGAUAGUAAAGCAAUAAGUUCUUCUAUCUCCUUAUCUCUAAGGGCAAGAGUAGCGCAGGUAUGUACCUCUCGUUGUUCACUUCUUUCCCUAUGAGAACGCGCUUCAUCCUGCGCGGCUUCAGCAUCAGCUUUUUCCUUCUUCAAUUUAUCGAUCUCCGCAUCCUGUUUCUUUAACUUUUCAACUUCCGCUUUAAGAUUGUUGAUAACAUUGCGGAGACCCAUCUUCUCAUCAUUAUCCUUUUCACAGAUCUUUUUCCAAUUUUUACGCUCCUCGGAAAGAAGGGCAGCUUCAGCUUCCGCCUUUCUCUUCCACCCCGCAACAAACCAUUCCUCAGUCUUCCGAUCAUUCUCAAAUUUGGCCAGAUCAGCUUCUAGUUUUGCCCUCAACUGGGUAGCUCGGGCCUCAUCCUCAGCAGCUUUCUUCUUGGAUGCUUUAAAAGCAGCCCACUCCUUAUGCAUGCUAUGCCACUCACGCACUAUGCGGUGCAUAGUAGAUGUAUAAGUGGCAACUUCUUCAAGAUAAGCAUGAUAGGUUUGAUCAUGAAGGCGUCCUUCCUGAAAUUUAAUCUCCACAGAAGGAAAGGUUCCUUGUAACCAAUCUCGGCACACGCGCCAAUCUGAAAAGGUGUCCCCUUUCUUUAACUUCCACACUGGCAUGUGAAUUUCAUCAGCAUGUUUCUCCGAAUAGCAUCUAUAAUAGUAAUCCCCCGGAGUUUCAUCCGGGCGGAUAGGAGAAUUUUCAUUAGAUCGAACAAAAGAACCUUGGUUCCCACCAGGAUUCUUUUCAACAUUCUCAGAACCAGAAGCCGCAGAAGGAGACAUUGUCACAGGGAUCUCUUGAGCAAACUUCCCUUUCUCCGCGUCUUGGGCAGCAAGUUCAGGAGUUUGUGGACAACCAGCACUAACAUCCACAACCUCCAGGUUGGUAAUUUUCUCAGCAUCAACAGCAGCAUCAGCUAGUUUCUCAACCAUAGGGUUCUCUGCCCCAGCAGUCUUCUCUGCCUCAUUCUCAGGAAUCUCAGCGUUCCCCAAAGGUUCGUUAACAGGGACGCGAGGAGGAGAGGGCGGAAGCUCCUCAUUGACUACAGAUGAUGGCUCCGUUUGAACAGGAGAAUUUAGCUUUUCUGUAAAAACAAACAUAUAUGUUACAAUCAUUCAAGGCACAUUAGAGGAAAACAAAGAAAAAUGCCUACCAGGACCAGGUUUUGCAAUAAAGGCAUCAAGAUUGCCCCUUCUGGUGAUUUUCUUCAUCCGGACCUUCUUGUCAGGCUGACCUUCAGCUUUAGCAUUAGUUUGCUUCCUCUUUCCCGCCUUCUUCCUCAGCAGAUGCUCAGGACUCGACUCUAAGUCGAUGGGAUCAUCAGGGUUCGACAGAGGGAUGUCAGCAGUAUCCCUCGGUUCCGGUUUAGGUUUCCUCACAACUGCAGGCGCAAGACCCUCCAACGAGUCAGAUACCACCACAUAAUCACACCAGGAGUCAGAGGAAUGGCGCAUACUUUUCUUCUCUCCUCCCAGAUUUUUGGCCUUAAAAGAUUGAGCUUUCUCCGCAUCACUCUUUUCGACGCAUCAGUAGCAGCGGGCGCACGUCUUUUCUUUUCCGGGCCUAUGCCCAGGUUAGACAGCUCACCUACUGAGAAGCACAAAGAUUGACUUAUUCAAACGCACAAAAUAGAAGAAAACAGAAAUACGAUAAAAAAUUACCAGCGCCAGCAGCAGGUUGCGCGACCAGAUCAUCAUUUCACGGAAGAACAAAAUUCCUCACAAUGCGGUGAUACCAGAGCUCCUUAUCAGGUUUCAGGUUUCUUGGGAAUAGUAGCCAUCUUCCCACCUUCUCUCUCAAAGGCAACAACAUACAAAGAAACAACUGCAAAGAAAGAGAAACAAAGGCAAAUUCAAAAAAAAAAAAAAAAAAACACAAGAAAAGAAAGCAAACAGGGCAAACCCCAAAAUCGUACCUUUGCCAUCCUCCAUAUACACCGGCUUCUCUUCACGGUUCAUCCGCCAGUUCAGACUCAUACCAGCCCCAACCAGGGCUUUCUCCGGCAAAGCAAUCGACGGAACGUCCUUCAAUUCCUGGUACCAAUUUUCAGAAAAAGGAGUCUGAAUCGUCUCGGUGGGAACAUCCUCUUUCCCUCUAAAAGUCAUUCUCAUCGGAAUAACCCCAACUUUAAUAAAAAAGAACUUUUGUUUCCAGUCAUGAAACGACUUUGGGGGUUGCAGCAAGAUCUUAUUCGCAGAUGCCCUUUGCAUAAACGAAUAGAAUAUCUGAGAACAGUGCAUUUGAUGGAACACUCGAAAUCGAGGAACCGUCGGUUCAAUAUGCAUUGUACGACACACAAAUUCGAAGUGACGAACCCUAACCAUACCAAUAGGGUGCAUCUGGGAGAUGUGAAAUUUGUAAUAAUCAAGAAUAUCAAGGAAAAAUUUCAUCAUAGGCAAUCGGAAAUUACCUGCAGAGAAAAAGUCCCAAAAUAAAGUGAUAUACCCGAUCGGAGCAUCCGCCGCCGUUUGACCCUCGUCGGGGUACCGAGCACCCCAACUUUCCGGAAAUUUAAAGUUUCGAAUCAAAUCGUCGAAAGUUUCCCUAGACCACUUCAAUGGUGGAAGUUCGGCAGCCAUUUCUUCAGCAGAGUUUUCGUGAUGAUCUCCGGUUGACAUAAGAGAGGGAAAUUGCAAACCCUUUCAAGAAACGAAUAAAGGAGACGAAGAAGAAAAGGAUUUAACGAAAAUAAGCAGUUGAAAAGGUUUAUGUACUCACCGCCAUAAAUAACCUAGACAACUGCAACAACACCUUUUUCGGGGGUAGCACAGUUAUCCAAGCGUCAGGGGCGAGUGAAAAAGAACAAUAAACGCGAGUUCACGCGCGCGUGGGAAAUACGGUCAGUAACGUGCAGCUGAUAGUGACAGCCUGUCACACGUCAACAGUCAUUAUUGUACCUUUCCACAUACCCAAAGUCAAGAUUUUCAAAAUCAGAAUAAUGAGCAAGAGCAUCUUCUCCAAAAAGAUUCUCCACUUCCAUGCCAAAAACUCUACAGCAAAAGCACCUCUCUCUCAUAGUCCAGUGCUCCACUUAUUUGCAUAAGAGCAACAUUAGACUGGGGGACUUGAAGGGGUAAGGUCCCAAAAACCUUGCUUCAAGUACUUGGGACCAUACCACAACUUCGUCCUUCUAACCCUCUUUAGACCUUGCGCGGCCGCGCACUGGUCCUACAAAGAGAGCUAAGAAAGAAAACAAUAUCCUACACUUGCGCGCCAAAAGGAAACUAGCAAAUCCUUGCAUAGCAGUUAAGGAUAAAAAUCCUAACAAACACUUCCGCAUAAAUAAUAUCCAUACUUGGAUAUUAUGUACUUCACUGGUACCAUACAAUAAGGAGCCACACAGAAUUACAGCUGUUUUCUUCUAGAAGGCUCCAUCGUGCACCACCAGACGGUUAUAACCGAAUGGCCACGUGGCAUCAUCCCAGACUCCCUUGAAGUCACGAUAAUGGCACGGAAUCCAAGAGAAAUCUUCACUUACCCACUUUCCACGUGGCGAUACCCUAACCGUUGAUCAAGAUCACGGUCCGUGUGCUCCCACACUCGUUAGCGAUUAACGGAAAGGAAGAAUAACCGCUUACGGAAAAGCAUCUUCUGUCAAGUUUUCGCCAACAGGUUUUCCCGCCAAAACUUCGGCUAUAAAUGGAAGGAUAAUUCAGUUAUUGUGAAGAAGGAGAUCAGUCACCCACGAACCGAACGAGAAGAGAUAAACCCCUUUUAUGCAAAUUCAAACCCCCUAAUUCAGUUGAUUUCGGUCAAUUUAACCAGUGUUUCUUCAGCCUCAUAUGAAAAAUAUUAAAAUACCAAUUAGUUUCAACAGAAAAAUUGGAUGGUCUUAGUGAUCAAACUAAUAUGAUAAGUUUUUUGGAUCACAAUGUGCUAGAUGCAACAUUUAAACUUUUGAAUUGAAGUGAUAAUUUUCAUCAAAUCACCGGAUAAAAAUGGACUAAACAUUGAUAAAAUAGAUGAAUAAUUAACAAAUAAUAAACAGCUCAAACUCGAGCUUUUAUAUAAGGAG